GAUGAACGCUGGCGGCGUGCCUAAUACAUGCAAGUCGAGCGAACGGACGAGAAGCUUGCUUCUCUGAUGUUAGCGGCGGACGGGUGAGUAACACGUGGAUAACCUACCUAUAAGACUGGGAUAACUUCGGGAAACCGGAGCUAAUACCGGAUAAUAUUUUGAACCGCAUGGUUCAAAAGUGAAAGACGGUCUUGCUGUCACUUAUAGAUGGAUCUGCGCUGCAUUAGCUAGUUGGUAAGGUAACGGCUUACCAAGGCAACGAUGCAUAGCCGACCGCAGAGGGUGAUCGCCGACAUUGGAGCGGAGACACGGACCAGACGCCUAAGGGAGGGAGCAGUAGGCAAUCGUCCGCAAUGGUGGAAAGCAUGACGGAGCAACGCCGCGUGAGUGACGACGGUGUUGCGAUCGGAAAACCCUGUUAUGAGGGAAGAACAGAUGUGGAAGGAACUGUGCACAGCUUGACGGUACCUAAUCAGAAAGCCACGGCUAACUACGUG
rnacentral:rRNA from 1 species